UAAAAGCCGUCCCAGUUCAGAUCGCAGUCUGCAACCCGACUGCGUGAAGUCGGAAUCGCUAGUAAUCGCGGAUCAGCAUGCCGCGGUGAAUACGUUCCCGGGCCUUGUACACACCGCCCGUCACACCAUGAGAGUCGGGAACACCCGAAGUCCGUAGCCUAACCGCGGAGGGGGGCGCGGCCGAAGGUGGGUUCGAUAAUUGGGGUGAAGUCGUAACAAGGUAAC
rnacentral:rRNA from 1 species